AAAAAUAGUCCUCCUCCGACUGUCAGCUGAGAGGACUCGUGUGACGAUUUCUCUUUAAUAGAAGGGGAAAUAUUCACACGGCAGCGUCUCGGAAGCUGUUUUUCCAAAGAUGUUGCCUCACUGCCACCAUUUUGUGGGUGUCCAAGAAGCCUGCUGAUCCUGGGAAACUGUCGCGGUCAACCCAUGGGAUCCCUAAGAUGUCAGCGGGCCGCCUUGGUGUGGAGUUCUUUCCAUGGAUCUCGAUAUUCAGCAUUGGUGGACGGCCAUAAGGACUCUGUGGACACUGGGACUCCUUUUCCCACUGGCCUUUUCUGGAUUUUACAAUUUUGAACAACUUUCCCAAACUUUCGAGAACUUAAAAAAAAAACUUUAUGGAACUUUUCCCCAAGCCCUAUGGAAUCCACUCUCAUGAUUGAGGGAUGAUAUGAUUUCGUGCUUAUGAACUUAUUCUGGUGUACUGGUGGGUGGGGUGGGUGUAUAUGAAAUUCCCUAAUGCUUCAUUAUUCCUUAUGUAUCUCCCUGACCCCUGUGUGUAUGUUUUGUAUAUGAAAUAUGGAAAGCCACCUUUUAGUGACCUCCAGCAUGACAUCAGCCUUGUGUAGCCCAUUUCCCAAGGCUUGUCCCUAUUAAUUCAAGGUUUCAAGCACAGACUGAUUGGAUGAUAAUAACCCGGCCCCCUCAAGUCUCGGAGCAGGACUGCUUGGGGGGAGCCACCUGGUAAACUAGUUAUCUUCCAACAAAGAGGCAUCCUGCUUUCAAAGGAAACCAGGAUGUCCCAGCUUUCCUCCCUUUUGUCUUUCCCCAUGGACCAAGGAAAACAUAAGACAACACAAUGAAAUCAUAUCUGAACCCAUAUCUGUGAUCAGGAAAUGCCAGGGCUGGGCGAUCGUGCCAGCCCUAUCUGCAUAUCUCAACCUUUCAAGAGACUCGACCAGCUUGAGGAAUCUAUUCAUAGAUUAAUUCCGGCCAUUUGGACACAUUAAGGCACUUUAAAUCAAUCUUCUGGACAUCUACUUCAUUGUUCUUCCCAAGGACCGCCUCCUCCGCUCCCAUUGGUCGAGAGCCCGGAGCAGCACUGAUUUUCUGAUUGGCUAAAAUGCGGCUCAUCCGGCCGUGCCUCCCCACCAGCUGAUGACAACAGCCAAUCAGGGAGAUGCCGGCUAAGGGGCGGGGGGUGGGAAAUUUGAACUUUGACAGCUCCAUUUGUACCAAAAUGUAUUGCAUGGAUGUCUCUCCUGACAAACUAUCCCUGUUUGACAUCCGUUCCAGCUGGACGAAAUAAGUACAACUCGGUGGCUUUUCUUCAA